UAUUAUUAUUAUUAUUCCUUUGGCCGAAGCCUUAAGGAAACCAAAGGAAAGAUAAGGAAAGCCAAAGUUAGCUAUUAUAUAUAUAAACAUGACACAUGUAUCUUAAUAGUCAUAUAAUUUCAUUACCCUUUUCUUUCUUCCACCGAAGCCAUAAGAAAUAAGAAGUGUGGUUCAUAAGCAUAUAUAUAUAUACAUAUAAGUAUGACACAUGUCCUUUCAUUUCAAUAAACUAAUGCCACUUAAUCAAGAAUCCAUAUUCACUUCUCUUCAUUUGUCACUGAACUUGAAAGGAAAGAAAGGAACCGAGAGUGAGGAAGAGAACCUCCAUGACCAUAAGAUUUUCGACUUCGAUUUCUUGAGAUCCGUAACUCCAAUUAAAAAUCUAAUCCGGUAAAAGUGUUCGUAUCCUCAUCCUCUACACAUUGACGUUAUUUUUGUCCGGUAGAAGUUGACGGUGACGUAGUUCCUCUUCUCCUUGAGUUCGGCUAACUGGAGUUUUAGGAAGCACAGACGAUUUCUGACGCUUUCUCCUUCAGCAGCUCGAUCAGAAAGUUUCUCCGGAGCUUCUGUUGUUUUGAUUUCGUACGGAGUGACACAGGUUCGAAGAUUCAGUUAGAAGAUGCAGACGACUAGUAGAUUAACUUGUGAUUCCUGUUAUUUCUAUAGAGUUCCCUCGCCCUUGUUGCUUUAAGUUUUAUUUUAUCCAGAGGGAUAGGUAUUGCAUUUGAGUUUUAUAUUGAAUUCAUUUGUAUAGCAUUUACUAUAAUUGUUAAUUGUGUGAUUUUAAUUACUACAAAUAAUUUUCUGGUAUUUUCUUA